rnacentral:tRNA from 1 species
GGUGUAGUGGUCUAACAUGCCGGCCUGUCAAGCCGGAGAUCGCGGGUUCAAUCCCCGUC